GCUACACAUGCAAGUCGUACGAGAGUUUUUAACUCAAGUGGCGGACGGGUGAGUAACACGUGAGAAUUCACCUUUAGGAGGGGGACAACAGCUGGAAACGGUUGCUAAUACCCCAUAUGCUUCCGAGUGAAAUGAAUUUAUUCGCCUAAAGAGAAGCUCGCGGCUGAUUAGCUUGUUGGUAGGGUAAGAGCCUACCAAGGCGACGAUCAGUAUCUGGUUUGAGAGGACGAUCAGACACACUGGAACUGAGACACGGUCCAGACUCCUACGGGAGGCAGCAGUGGGGAAUUUUCCGCAAUGGGCGAAAGCCUGACGGAGCAAUACCGCGUGAGGGAAGACGGCCUAUGGGUUGUAAACCUCUUUUUUCAGGGAGGAAUAACUGACGUGUACCUGAAGAAUAAGCAUCGGCUAACUCCGUGCCAGCAGCCGCGGUAAGACGGAGGAUGCAAGUGUUAUCCGGAAUCACUGGGCGUAAAGCGUCUGUAGGUUGUCGAACAAGUCAACUGUUAAAUCUUGAGGCUCAACUUCAAAAUCGCAGUCGAAACUGUUUGACUAGAGUAUAGUAGGGGUAAAGGGAAUUUCCAGUGGAGCGGUGAAAUGCGUAGAUAUUGGAAAGAACACCGAUGGCGAAGGCACUUUACUGGGCUAUUACUGACACUCAGAGACGAAAGCUAGGGUAGCAAAUGGGAUUAGAUACCCCAGUAGUCCUAGCCGUAAACAAUGGAUACUAGAUGUUGAACAGAUCGACCUGUGCAGUAUCAAAGCUAACGCGUUAAGUAUCCCGCCUGGGAAGUAUGCUCGCAAGGGUG
rnacentral:rRNA from 1 species